ACAAUUAGAAAGCAAAAAAAAAAAAAAAGCCCCUGUUUUCUCUCAUUUUAAAUUUAUUUUAUAUCUACUUACAUUUGUAUUAGUAUAAUUAGAUAAUCGUGUUACACAGUUCCUUUUUCCUCAUUCAAGGAUAUGUCUUACCCAUGGCAUUAUCUUAGGUAUAAAUGUUGUCUUCUGGAUUCACGUCUACUUAAUAACACAUAAGUAAUUUGGCAUGGACUAACUUUAUGUUAGUUAUAACAUGAAUAACAAUACAAACAGUACAUAUAAUGAAUCAAUAUCUUAAAUCACUGUAUGAUUUAUAAUUUUUGCAUGUACUCUGUUAAGAGGCUUUAUCAGAAAGGGCCUUAAUUAUUUUGAAAUUGUUUUCCAUGUCUUAAAAAUAUUGUGCUGAGAAACAAGAUAUAUGGGCCUUAUGUACAAUAAGACAAUAGUUCAUUUGUGUGGAACAUGGCCAAACACAGGCUCAACCAAAUGGUAUCAUUUUUUUUUAAACAUUUACUGAGUAUCUUCUGCCCAUAUUAGGCAAAGACUUGGUGCUGACUUUAUAUUUGAGCAACACUUAUGAUGUUCCAUGCAUUAAAUUUAACCUCCAUAGCCCUCUGAGGUUAGGUGUCUUAAAAAAAAAAAAAACCUGUAAAAGUAACUUUAUUCAAAGUCACUGAUUUUGUUUAGUGGCUCUACAUUACUACAUUCACAUUCAUGAAAUUAAUAAUGUACUGCAUUUCACCAGCUGUUCAUAAGACUUUCCUGGAGGCAAGAUUGGUACAUUCUUAGAGAACUGGGGGAAAGGUUAUUGAAAACCUCAUGGGUUAGGAUAUAUCCAGGAUGGCCAAGCCCAAUAGAUUGCCAAGAUUGAAGACAGGGGUUGAGUUGGGAUGGCUGGAGGACCUGAGGACCAGAUAUUUACUUCACAAGGUGCAGUUAUGACAACAAAAACUUUAGAGUGGGAAGUAUUCUAUUUUUAUAAAAUGUAUGGUAGGAUAAAAUGUUAAGGUAAUAAUUACAACAAUUGUUUCACUGUCCCCCAAGCUUUGCCUUCAAUGUACAUAGAUAGUGAGGUUCUCAUCUCCACUUGGCUUGGCUUGACUGUCACUCAGUACUUCAAUAUAGAAUACCAGGAGACUGAGCCUCGGUCCGCAUGAAAGAGAACAAGGGUUUGAGGGUUAGGGUUUUUCAUACUAUCAGACUCCUGGGCUUGGGAAGGGAGUCGGGCGAGUGUCAGGUAAAUGGGAGCUGGAUUGAACCUCAGAGAUCAGCCUGAGCAGGAAAUCAGGAACUGUUUGUCACCAGCAGCCAAAAGCCCCAUGGGAGUCCAGAGAUUAUCCAAGCUCUGUUCAUGUACCCAGUGGACAUCCCCUGACUCUCUUGGGGUUCAUAGGGGUGAUAGCUGUCCUUCCCUCUAUUUGUUACCCCUCUUUGAACUUAUAUACAUUUUAAGUAAUUAUUCAUAGGUAAGAACUUAUUUCUGCAAUUUUGUUAAUUAUUUUCUAAUUAUUUUGUAGUUCCUUUGUCCCUUUCUUCAUCUCUUGCUGUCUUCUUUCGUGAAUUGAUUAUUUUUUUGUAGUGGUAUACUUUGAUUCCUUUCUCUGUAUCUUUUGUAAGUCUUUAAUCCAUCUUGAGUUAAUUUUUGUAUAAGGUGUAAGGAAGGAGCCCAGCUUCAGUUUUCUGCAUGUGGCUAGCCAGUUUUCCCAAGAUCAUUUAUUAAAUACAGAAUUUCUUCCCCAUUAUUUGUUUUUGUCAGAUUUGUUGAAGAUCAGAUGGUUGUAGAUGGGUGACGUUUUUCCUAGAUUGUUUCAUGAUAAACUCCUGAGGACAAAUAACAUAUAUUACAAUUUACAAUUUUUUUAUGCUAUCAAAUUCUACAUUUUAAUACUAUGCCCAACAGCAUUAAACCCUCCCAACAAGAAAAUCAGAUUGUUUAAUGAUCCUUUUUGUGUCACACUGGUUUAACCAUUCUGAUGUUUUUAAAGAGCUGUAGUUACAUACUAAACAUAUGUAAUACAGAAAGUGGUCUCAGGGAAAGAGUGAGAAAGCUGUAAAUUCAAAGUAUAUGUUAAAACUGUGAAAUAAUGGUACUUGGUAAAUAUGAGUAACAACGAAUGUCAACAAAUAUUUAUAAAAUUUCUAUGGUGAUUGAAGCAUGAGGCUCUUCCUCUAUGUAAUGUUAAUGGGCCACUUACUGAACUAUAUCUCUUUGGAGAGGCAAGUCUAAAUGGUAUGAGGUUAAAGAACAUUAGAAAGUGGUUUGUGCAUGUUCAACAACAUGACUUUUCUCAUUAAAAAAAGAAAAAAAAACUACUGAAAAUACAAAAAUUAGCUGGGCAUGCACCUGUAAUCCCAGCUACCCAGGAGGCUGAGGCAGGAGAAUCUCUUGAACCUGGGAGAUGGAGGCUGCAGUGAGCAGAGAUCGUGCCACUGCACUCCAUCCUGGGCGACACAGCGAGACUCCAUCUCAAAAAAAAAAAAAAUCUUAUUUGAAUAUUUUUGUCUCUGCUGCAAAAGAUUCUUUCUUCCCUUUGUUCCUUGACUUUCUCCUAAGAAAUAUUUUAUUAUUUUUUUCAUACAGAUAUUUGUGUCAGACUAAU
rnacentral:lncRNA from 1 species